AUCUGCAAAUCCAGGUUGCUUCUCCAUGAUCAUCCUGACUCCUUCUCCCAUGUCUCCCUCAGCCUCCUUCUCAUCCUGGGCAUAUUAUAUUAUCCAGGGAAGGAAAGGAAGAUGAAGUCACAUGUUAAAAGGG